GGCAUCCAUUCUUGGCUAAG
rnacentral:miRNA from 1 species